rnacentral:rRNA from 1 species
CAGUCGCCACGGUAAUACGUAGGUGGCAAGCGUUGUCCGGAAUUACUGGGCGUAAAGGGCUCGCAGGCGGUUUCUUAAGUCUGAUGUGAAAGCCCCCGGCUCAACCGGGGAGGGUCAUUGGAAACUGGGAAACUUGAGUGCAGAAGAGGAGAGUGGAAUUCCACGUGUAGCGGUGAAAUGCGUAGAGAUGUGGAGGAACACCAGUGGCGAAGGCGACUCUCUGGUCUGUAACUGACACUGAGGCACGAAAGCGUGGGGAUCAAACAGGACUAGAUACCCCAGUAGUCCCUGUCUCUUAUAC